GAUGAAGAACGCAGCGAAAUGGGAUACGUAAUGUGAAUUGCAGAAUUCAGUGAAUCAUCGAGUCUUUGAACGCACAUUGCGCCCCCUGGUAUUCCGGGGGGCAUGCCUGUCCGAGCGUCAUUGCUGCCCUCAAGCACGGCUUGUGUGUUGGGCCUCCGUCCUCCUCCCGGGGGACGGGCCCGAAAGGCAGCGGCGGCACCGCGUCCGGUCCUCGAGCGUAUGGGGCUUCGUCACCCGCUCUUGUAGGCCCGGCCGGCGCUUGCCGACACAUCAAUCUUUUUUCCAGGUUGACCUCGGAUCAGGUAGGGAUACCCGCUGAACUUAAGCAUAUCAAUAAGCGGAGGA
rnacentral:misc_RNA from 1 species